AUGGAGUCGACGUCGUCGCCGGCCGGUGGAUCUUCCGGCUCCUCCGCGGCGGGAGAGCACGAGGCCGUGGCCACGGACCAGAGCCCGUCGCCGCGCGCCGCGCUGCUGGCCCAAUCUCCCGCGAGAGCCGGCAAGAAGGGCAAGAAACGUCAGGGGCGCGCGUUCUUGGCCGGCAUGGAGUCGACGUCGUCGCCGGCCGGUGGAUCCUCCGGCUCCUCCGCGGGAGAGCCCGAGGGCGAGGCCGCGGAGCAGAGCCCGCCGCCGCGCCUGCCUCAGUCGCCCGCCAGAGCCGGCAAGAAGGGCAAGAAGCUUCACGGCCGCGCGUUCUUGGAUUCGACCGGCGCAGUUUGGCUGGAAAGGAGGGCCGUGCCACUAUCAAGAUCAAGAUCGUCGUCCAGGGCAGCAAGGGCAAGCAAGAAGCCCAAGACCCGCAAGGAGCUCCCGGAUCGCCUGUUCUGGUACGGCAUGAAGUCGACGUCGGCGGCGGCGGCGGCAGGGCCCGGCCCGGACGACCUCUCGCUGGAGUCGAUCCCCGUCGUCGACGCAAGUCUGCACCAGAUCCUGAAGAGCCUGAACGCCUCCGCCCCAGUUCGCAUCUACGGGAAGUUGCUGUCGAAGUCGGACCGGUUGCUCGACCAGAGCCGGCUGCUCAUGUCCUGCAAGAAAUGGAAGAAGCACGGGCUGGACGAUGUGCUGACCGUGGAGGAGAAGCAGCUGAUUGAGAAGCAGAUCAAGGUGGACAUGAAGGCCUACGACCGCGACGGCAACUCCUACGACCUCGCCUGCAAGAAGCUCCACUGCAACGGCGCCUACCGCCUCAUCGUCGGCUGGGGCAAGUUCCUGAAGGCCAACAACCUCCACGUGGAGCCCAAGGCCAAGCCCAAGGAGCUGGAGCCGGCCAUGGUCGACCUGUGGGCGUUCCGCUCGCCGGCGCUCGAGUUGGGCGUCGUCACUGAUCACCCGGACGGCCCGCUCGGGCUCGUCGUCGUGCACUACCUCCAGCACAACGCCCCGCACGCCCAAGCCGCCAUCGACGAGAUCCAUGCGUCAUUGCACGGAGCGGCCGUCGCGCCGGUUGAUGCCCCACACGACGACGACGCGGUGACCGCAAUCGAGGCUGACGGUGGCGGUGAGGCCGUUGAUGCCCCGGCGGAGGCUGAUGCCGAGUGA
rnacentral:rRNA from 1 species